AUGGAGCGCCAUUUGCCGUGGGCCAUUUGGAAGCUCUGGAGACGUUUUAAACGUUGGAGACGCCGACGGAGACAGCGGUGGCAGCCGGUGGCGGAAGUUGCUGUGCUUGGUCGUCCACCUAGACCUCCACCUAGACGUCGGCGGCCUCGCUUUGACCCACCCACUUCCCACGUUGAGGAAGUUGUCCCCCCCACCUCUGACAUUCAGGUGCCUCACUUGGACUCACCCCCUUCUUACUGUGAGGUUCCACCAAGCUGGGGGGAAACACCACUUCCUCUUUACUGUGAGCUUUUUCCUUCUUCUUCUCCUCCACACUCUCCCGUUCCUUCUGGCUCUUGUCCUUCCUCUCCUUCUCCUCCAGGCUCUCCCCUUCCUUCUGGCUCUUUUGCUCCUUCUCUUUCUCCUCCAGGCUCUCCCCUUCCUUCUGGCUCUUUUGCUCCUUCUCUUUCUCCUCCAGGCUCUCCCGUUCCUUCUGGCUCUUUUGCUCCUUCUCUUUCUCCUCCAGGCUCUCCUGUUCCUUCUGGCUCUUUUGCACUUUCUCUUUCUCCUCCAGGCUCUCCCCUUCCUUCUGGCUCUUGUGCUUCCUCUCUUUCUCCUCCAGGCUCUCCCCUUCCUCCUCCUUCUUCUUUUCCUUCCACACCCCCUCCUCCUUAUUCUCUUGUUCCUUCUUGCUGUCCUGCUCCUUCUCUUUCUCCUCCAGGCUCUCCUCUUCCUCCUUCUUCUUCUUUUCCUUCCACACCCCCUCCUCCUUAUUCUCUUGUUCCUUCUUGCUCUCCUGCUCCUUCGCUUUCUCCUCCAGGCUCUCCUGUUUCUUCUUCUUUUCCACCUUCACCUCCUCCUCCUUCCCCUCUGGUUCCACCUAUUGUGGCUCUUUCUGAGCUGCGCUGUGUUCCGGAUGCUGGCCUUUCCCUGUAUCCUGUUAUUCAGGACUCAGGCUCUGUAGUGCACGGGACCAGCGAGGACGGGACCAGCGAGGACGGGACCAGCGAGGACGGGACCAGCGAGGACGGGACCAGCGAGGACGGGACCAGCGGGACGACCAGCGAGGACGGGACCAGCGAGGACGUACCGGAUAGGGGGGACGAGGAGGCUCCCAGCAGCAGCACGUCACUAAGGAGAGGUAGGGAGGACAGUGAUGAGGAGGGGGCUGCUCCUAAAAGACCAUGUUGUACUGUGAGACACUGUGUCACACAGUAA
rnacentral:lncRNA from 1 species